UACGGAGGGGGCCAGCGUUGUUCGGAAUUACUGGGCGUAAAGCGCACGUAGGCGGCUUUGUAAGUUAGAGGUGAAAGCCCAGGGCUUAACCCUGGAAUUGCCUUUAAGACUGCAUCGCUAGAAUCGUGGAGAGGUGAGUGGAAUUCCGAGUGUAGAGGUGAAAUUCGUAGAUAUUCGGAAGAACACCAGUGGCGAAGGCGACUCACUGGACACGUAUUGACGCUGAGGUGCGAAAGCGUGGGGAGCAAACAGG
rnacentral:rRNA from 1 species